CACGUUAUCAUUCUUGUUAGUUCUAAGUGAAUUCCCUCGGUAUGAUAAUUUGUUCAUCAGUUUGUUCCCCGUUUCUUCUCUAGCCUGAGCCUGACACACUAUUCUAGCUAGACAUGGGUGUGGCUCGUAACACCUGAUGACCAAACGGAUCUACGACACCAUCGAAUCUCAAACUUUAACUACCAAAACUAUUGUUUUUCAUCCUCUAGUCCCUUUUAGAAUUACUAAACGUCCUUUUUUGGGCCGAGAUUUCCAGGAACGCUUUCUCGGGGUUUGUGUGCAUGUAUUUCAAACCAUACAGACCUAAAAAUUAGAAGUCAUUCCAUCUUUAUUCCCGUAGAGCCUUCCAGCAGUUCCUAAACCGCUCCAGUCGGAGCAUGUUAUCAUUCUUGUUUGUUCUGAGUGAAUUCCCUCGGUAUGAUAAUUCUAUCAUCAGUUUGUUCCCCGUUUCUUCUCUAGCCUGAGCCUGGCAAACUAUUCNNNNNNNNNNNNNNNNNNNNNNNNNNNNNNNNNNNNNNNNNNNNNNNNNNNNNNNNNNNNNNNNNNNNNNNNNNNNNNNNNNNNNNNNNNNNNNNNNNNNNNNNNNNNNNNNNNNNNNNNNNNNNNNNNNNNNNNNCUAAACCGCUCUAGUCGGAGCACGUUAUCAUUCUUGUUAGUUCUGAGUGAAUUCCCUCGGUAUGAUAAUUCUUUCAUCAGUUUGUUCCCUGUUUCUUCUCUAGCCUGAGCCUGACACACUAUUCUAGCUAGACAUGGGUGUGGCUCGUAACACCUAAUGACCAAACGGAUCGACGGCACCAUCGAAUCUCAAACUUUAACUGCCAAAACUAUUGUUUUUCAUCCUGUUGUCCCAUUUAGAAUUACUAAACGUCCUUUUUUGGGCCGAGAUUUAGAGGAACGCUUUCUCGGGGUUUGUGUGCAAGUAUUUCAAACCAUACGGACCUAAAAAUUAGAAGUCAUUCCAUCUUUAUUCCCCUAGAGCCUUCCAGCAGUUCCUAAACCGCUCAAGUCAGAGCAUGUUAUCAUUCUUGUUAGUUCUGAGUGAAUUCCCUCGGUAUGAUAAUUCUUUCAUCAGUUUGUUCCCUGUUUCUUCUCUAGCCUGAGCCUGACACACUAUUCUAGCUAGACAUGGGUGUGGCUCGUAACACCUGAUGACCAAACGGAUCUACGACACCAUUGAAUCUCAAACUUUAACUACCAAAACUAUUAUUUUUCAUCCUGUAGUCCCUUUUAGAAUUACUAAACGUCCUUUUUUGGGCCGAGAUUUCCAAGAACGCUUUCUCGUGGUUUGUGUGCAAGUAUUUCAAACCAUACAGACCUAAAAAUUAGAAGUCAUUCCAUCUUUAUGCCCGUAGAGCCUUCCAGCAGUUCCUAAACCGCUCCAGUCGGAGCACGUUAUCAUUCUUAUUAGUUCUGAGUGAAUUCCCUCAGUAUGAUAAUUCUUUCAUAAGUUUGUUCCCCAUUUCUUCUCUAGCCUGAGCCUGGCACACUAUUCUAGCUAGACAUGGGUGUGGCUCAUAACACUUGUUGACUAAAUGGAUCGACGGCACCAUCGAAUCUCAAACUUUAACUGCCAAAACUAUUGUUUUUCAUCCUGUAGUCCCAUUUAGAAUUAUUAAACGUCCUUUUUUGGGCCGAUAUUUAGAGUAAUGCUUUCUCGGGGUUUGUCUGCAAGUAUUUCAAACCAUACGGACCUAAAAAUUAGAAGUCAUUCCAUCUUUAUUCCCCUAGAGCCUUCCAGCAGUUCCUAAACCGCUCUAGUCGGAGCACGUUAUCAUUCUUGUUAGUUCUGAGUGAAUUCCCUCAGUAUGAUAAUUCUUUCAUCUGUUUGUUCCCCGUUUCUUCUCUAGCCUGAGCCUGACACACUAUUCAAGCUAGACAUGGAUGUGGCUCGUAACACCUGAUGACCAAACGGAUCUACGGCACCAUCGAAUCCCAAACUUUAACUGCCAAAACUAUUGUUUUUCAUCCUGUAGUCCCUUUUAGAAUUACUAAACGUCCUUUUUUGGGCCGAGAUUUCCAGGAAUGCUUUCUCGGGGUUUGUGUGCAAGUAUUUCAAACCAUACAAAGCUAGAAAUUAGAAGUCAUUCCAUCUUUAUUAUCGUAGAGCCUUCCAGCAGUUCCUAAACCGGUCUAGUCGGAGCACGUUAUCAUUCUAGUUAGUUCUGAGUGAAUUCCCUCGGUAUGAUAAUUCUUUCAUCAGUUUGUUCCCCGUUUCUUCUCUAGCCUGAGCCUGACAAACUAUUCUAGCUAGACAUGCGUGUGGCUCGUAACACCUGAUGACCAAACGGAUCUAUAGCACCAUCGAAUCUCAAACUUUAACUGCCAAAACUAUUGUUUUCAUCCUGUAGUCCCUUUUAGAAUUACUAAACUUCCUUUUUUGGGCCGAGAUUUAGAGGAACGCUUUCUGGGGUUUGUGUGCAAGUAUUUCAAACCAUACAGACCUAAAAAUUAGAAGUCAUUCCAUCUUUAUUCCCCUAGAGCCUUCCAGCAGUUCCUAAACCGCUCUAGUCGGAGCACGUUAUCAUUAUUGUUAGUUCUGAGUGAAUUCCCUCGGUAUGAUAAUUCUUUCAUCAGUUUGUUCCCUGUUUCUUCUCUAUCCUGAGCCUGACACACUAUUCUAGCUAGACAUGGGUGUGGCUCGUAACACCUGAUGACUAAAUGGAUCGACGGCACCAUCGAAUCUCAAACUUUAACUGCCAAAACUAUUGUUUUUCAUCCUGUAGUCCCAUUUAGAAUUAGUAAACGUCCUUUUUUGGGCCGAGAUUUAGAGGAACGCUUUCUCGGGGUUUGUGUGCAAGUAUUUCAAACCAUACGGACCUAAAAAUUAGAAGUCAUUCCAUCUUUAUUCCCCUAGUCAUCAGGUAUACACUCAAGUCGGAGCACGUUAUCAUUCUUGUUAGUUCUGAGUGAAUUCCCUCGGUAUGAUAAUUCUUUCAUAAAUUUGUUCCCCGUUUCUUAUAUGGCCUGAGCCUGACACACUAUUCUAGCUAGACAUGGGUGUGGCUCGUAACACCUGAUGACCAAACGGAUCUACGGCACCAUCAAAUCUCAAACUUUAACUGCCAAAACUAUUCUUUUUCAUUCUGUAGUCCCUUCUAGAAUUACUAAACGUCCUUUUUUGGGCCGAGAUUUCCAGGAACGCUUUCUCGGGGUUUGUGUGCAUGUAUUUCAAACCAUACAGACCUAAAAAUUAUAAGUCAUUCCAUCUUUAUUCCCGUAGAGCCUUCCAGUAGUUCCUAAACCGCUCCAGUCGGAGCAUGUUAUCAUUCUUGUUAGUUCUAAGUGAAUUCCCUCGGUAUGAUAAUUCUUUCAUCAGUUUGUUCCCCGUUUCUUCUCUAGCCUGAGCCUGGCACACUAGUCUAGCUAGACAUGGGUGUGGCUCGUAACACCCGAUGACUAAAUGGAUCGACGGCACCAUCGAAUCUCAAACUUUAACUGCCAAAACUAUUGUUUUUCAUCCUGUAGUCCCAUUUAGAAUUACUAAACGUCCUUUUUUGGGCCGAGAUUUAGAGGAACGCUUUCUCGUGGUUUGUGUGCAAGAAUUUCAAACCAUACGGACCUAAAAAUUAGAAGUCAUUCCAUCUUUAUUCCCCUAGAGCCUUCCAGUAGUU
rnacentral:lncRNA from 1 species